rnacentral:rRNA from 1 species
AGAGUUUGAUCCUGGCUCAGGACGAACGCUGGCGGCGCGCCUAACACAUGCAAGUCGAACGAGAGAGAGGGAGCUUGCUUCCUUGAUCAAGUGGCGAACGGGUGAGCAACGCGUGAGGAACCUGCCUCAAAGAGGGGGACAACAGUUGGAAACGACUGCUAAUACCGCAUAAGCCCACGACCCGGCAUCGGGAAGGGGGAAAAGGAGCAAUCCGCUUUGAGAUGGCCUCGCGUCCGAUUAGCUAGUUGGUGAGGUAACGGCCCACCAAGGCGACGAUCGGUAGCCGGACUGAGAGGUUGAACGGCCACAUUGGGACUGAGACACGGCCCAGACUCCUACGGGAGGCAGCAGUGGGGAAUAUUGCACAAUGGGGGAAACCCUGAUGCAGCGACGCCGCGUGGAGGAAGAAGGUCUUCGGAUUGUAAACUCCUGUUGUUGAGGAAGAUAAUGACGGUACUCAACAAGGAAGUGACGGCUAACUACGUGCCAGCAGCCGCGGUAAAACGUAGGUCACAAGCGUUGUCCGGAAUUACUGGGUGUAAAGGGAGCGCAGGCGGGCGAUCAAGUUGGAAGUGAAAUCCAUGGGCUCAACCCAUGAACUGCUUUCAAAACUGGUCGUCUUGAGUAGUGCAGAGGUAGGCGGAAUUCCCCGGUGUAGCGGUGGAAUGCGUAGAUAUCGGGAGGAACACCAGUGGCGAAGGCGGCCUUCUGGGCACCAACUGACGCUGAGGCUCGAAAGUGUGGGUAGCAAACAGGAUUAGAUACCCUGGUAGUCCACACCGUAAACGAUGAUUACUAGGUGUUGGGAGAUUGACCCUCUCAGUGCCGCAGUUAACACAAUAAGUAAUCCACCUGGGGAGUACGACCGCAAGGUUGAAACUCAAAGGAAUUGACGGGGGCCCGCACAAGCAGUGGAGUAUGUGGUUUAAUUCGACGCAACGCGAAGAACCUUACCAAGUCUUGACAUCCCUUGACGAUGCUGGAAACAGUAUUUCUCUUCGGAGCAAGGAGACAGGUGGUGCAUGGUUGUCGUCAGCUCGUGUCGUGAGAUGUUGGGUUAAGUCCCGCAACGAGCGCAACCCUUAUGGUCAGUUACUACGCAAGAGGACUCUGGCCAGACUGCCGUUGACAAAACGGAGGAAGGUGGGGAUGACGUCAAAUCAUCAUGCCCUUUAUGACUUGGGCUACACACGUACUACAAUGGCGUUAAACAAAGAGAAGCAAGACCGCGAGGUGGAGCAAAACUCAGAAACAACGUCCCAGUUCGGACUGCAGGCUGCAACUCGCCUGCACGAAGUCGGAAUUGCUAGUAAUCGUGGAUCAGCAUGCCACGGUGAAUACGUUCCCGGGCCUUGCACUCACCGCCCGUCA